UGGGGAGAAGACAUUGUGUCUUCGAGUCGUUGAUUUCACACUGCCGAGAAAAGCCUCUAGAUAGAAAAUAGGUGCCCGUACCGCAAACCGACACAGGUAGUCAAGAUGAGAAUUCUAAGGUGAGCGAGCGAACUCUCGUUAAGGAACUCGGCAAAAUGACCCCGUAACUUCGGGAGAAGGGGUGCUCUUUAGGGUUAACGCCCAGAAGAGCCGCAGUGAAUAGGCCCAAGCGACUGUUUAUCAAAAACACAGGUCUCUGCUAAACCGUAAGGUGAUGUAUAGGGGCUGACGCCUGCCCGGUGCUGGAAGGUUAAGAGGAGUGGUUAGCUUCUGCGAAGCUACGAAUCGAAGCCCCAGUAAACGGCGGCCGUAACUAUAACGGUCCUAAGGUAGCGAAAUUCCUUGUCGGGUAAGUUCCGACCCGCACGAAAGGCGUAACGAUUUGGGCACUGUCUCAACGAGAGACUCGGUGAAAUCAUAGUACCUGUGAAGAUGCAGGUUACCCGCGACAGGACGGAAAGACCCCGUGGAGCUUUACUGUAGCCUGAUAUUGAAAUUCGGCACAGCUUGUACAGGAUAGGUAGGAGCCUUUGAAACGUGAGCGCUAGCUUACGUGGAGGCGCUGGUGGGAUACUACCCUAGCUGUGUUGGCUUUCUAACCCGCACCACUUAUCGUGGUGGGAGACAGUGUCAGGCGGGCAGUUUGACUGGGGCGGUCGCCUCCUAAAAGGUAACGGAGGCGCUCAAAGGUUCCCUCAGAAUGGUUGGAAAUCAUUCAUAGAGUGUAAAGGCAUAAGGGAGCUUGACUGCGAGACCUACAAGUCGAGCAGGGUCGAAAGACGGACUUAGUGAUCCGGUGGUUCCGCAUGGAAGGGCCAUCGCUCAACGGAUAAAAGCUACCCCGGGGAUAACAGGCUUAUCUCCCCCAAGAGUUCACAUCGACGGGGAGGUUUGGCACCUCGAUGUCGGCUCAUCGCAUCCUGGGGCUGUAGUCGGUCCCAAGGGUUGGGCUGUUCGCCCAUUAAAGCGGUACGCGAGCUGGGUUCAGAACGUCGUGAGACAGUUCGGUCCCUAUCCGUCGUGGGCGUAGGAAAUUUGAGAGGAGCUGUCCUUAGUACGAGAGGACCGGGAUGGACAUACCUCUGGUGUACCAGUUGUCGUGCCAACGGCAUAGCUGGGUAGCUAUGUGUGGACGGGAUAAGUGCUGAAAGCAUCUAAGCAUGAAGCCCCCCUCAAGAUGAGAUUUCCCAACUUCGGUUAUAAGAUCCCUCAAAGAUGAUGAGGUUAAUAGGUUCGAGGUGGAAGCAUGGUGACAUGUGGAGCUGACGAAUACUAAUCGAUCGAAGACUUAAUCAA
rnacentral:rRNA from 1 species